rnacentral:tRNA from 1 species
GCCAGCGUAGCUCACUCGGCAGAGCAGCUGAUUCGUAAUCAGCAGGCCGCGGGUUCAAAUCCCAUCGCCGGCUCCA